CACAAACUUUCUCGCUUUCUUAUCAUCCAAGUCUUUGGCAAAAUAGAUAGCAACAUGUAAUUGA
ensembl:ncRNA C11E4.11 ncRNA